AGGGUCUAAUGAUGAUGGAGAAAAACUCUCUGCAUUAUUGGGGGAUAUUUUUCUUUAAGUGAUACACUAUGACAUAUAUUUUAAGUGGAAAUGAACGUGGGGAAUUUUGCGAGUCUUUAUAUUAUAUUAUUGGAUAAUGCGAGGGGAACAUCCACCUCCCUUCCAGAGGAGGUCAUGAUUGCAGUGACAUGUUUUUGGGGAGGAAAGUUUAGCUGUUAGGGACUUUAUGAAAAGCCUCCAUCCUCCAAUG